CAAACGGGUGCGGAACACGUACGCAACCUUCCUUUAACUGGAGAAUAGCCCCUCGAAAGAGGGAUUAAUACUCCGUAACAUCCCGAUGUGGCAUCACAACGGGAUUAUAGCUCCGGCGGUUAAAGAUGGGCGUGCGCCUGAUUAGAUAGUUGGCGGGGUAACGGCCCACCAAGUCUGCGAUCAGUAACUGGUGUGAGAGCACGACCAGUCACACGGGCACUGAGACACGGGCCCG
rnacentral:rRNA from 1 species